rnacentral:rRNA from 1 species
AUUGAACGCUGGCGGCAUGCUUUACACAUGCAAGUCGAACGGCAGCACGGGUGCUUGCACCUGGUGGCGAGUGGCGAACGGGUGAGUAAUGCAUCGGAACGUGCCCAUGAGUGGGGGAUAGCCCGGCGAAAGCCGGAUUAAUACCGCAUACGCCCUUAGGGGGAAAGCGGGGGAUCUUCGGACCUCGCGCUAUUGGAGCGGCCGAUGUCGGAUUAGCUAGUAGGUGAGGUAAAGGCUCACCUAGGCGACGAUCCGUAGCUGGUCUGGGAGGAUGAUCAGCCACACUGGGACUGAGACACGGCCCAGACUCCUACGGGAGGCAGCAGUGGGGAAUUUUGGACAAUGGGCGCAAGCCUGAUCCAGCCAUGCCGCGUGAGUGAAGAAGGCCUCGGUUGUAAGCUCUUCUAGGUGGAAGAAAUAAGACGCUGUUAA